UACGGAGGGUGCAAGCGUUGAUCGGAAUUACUGGGCGUAAAGCGCAUGCAGGCGGCCGGUCAAGUCGGAUGUGAAAGCCCCGGGCUCAACCCGGGAACUGCAUUCGAAACUGGCAGACUAGAGUCUUGUAGAGGGGGGUAGAAUUCCCGGUGUAGCGGUGAAAUGCGUAGAGAUCUGGAGGAAUACCGGUGGCGAAGGCGGCCCCCUGGACAAAGACUGACGCUCAGGUGCGAAAGCGUGGGGAGCAAACAGG
rnacentral:rRNA from 1 species